UUUCGACUCCAAAGUUUUCUCUCUCUAGAUUUUGGCGGGAAAAUCUUCAAAAAAAUCCUCGAAUUCUCAUUCAGUCUUCUUCUCCGAUCAGGUUCCCAUCAAUUCAUACACAGAAAAUGUCGAAAAUCAAAGUUUGCGCGCUAUUCAGACCUCUUAAUCAGAAAGAAAGAGCAGAUCACGGCGAUUCCAUCUGCAUACACCGCGUAGACUCUGAAUCUUUCAUAUUCAAGGAUGAGAAGGAGGACUUCAAUUUUAGCUUCGAUAGAGUUUUCUAUCCAGGAUCUCCGCAAUCUGACGUGUAUGAUUUUAUUGCUCUGCCUCUUG